AACAGCCCGAUAGUCAACAUCCACCUCCAUCAUAGCCUUUGUUUCUCUCCAUCUCCAUCUUCUCUAUCUAGAUAUACACUACUUUCUCUUUCACUCUUCCACCUCUUCAGUUCUCAUUCACUUUCUUUCUCUUCAUCUCCACGCCACUCUUUCGCCUCGACCCCCUCUCUCUUUCGUCACUUUCAUUCCUCUGCCUCUCUCUCCCUCCUCGACGAAGCCCUAAUGCUCUCAGUAAGAGCAUGACUAUGAACGGGAGAAGCUCAGCGAGACACUUGCAAAAAAUUUCAGUGGUGUUUCUGUGAUACAAGUAAACACUAGAGACAUAUUAAAGAUGGUUCUCACCAGAGCUUACACACUUGGGCCAAACCAAUAUUGAAACAAGGAGAAAUUGAAAAACUGAUUGAUCCAAAGCUGGGAGGGGCCUAUGAUGUUACUUAGCUGAAAAGACUUGCCUUUGCUGCAUCACUUUGCAUAAGGUCACUCACAAAAUGGUGGCCGACCAUCACCAAGGUAUUGAUACUAGCCUUGUUUUUCGAAUUCAGAGUCGUUGGCACUGCAUGAAAUAACAGGAAAGACUAGGAUGAGUCUUUCCUCAUUCAUUGAGCUGUGUGUUUGAAUUGGCGUGAAGAUAUAGAUGUUCCUUGCCUUAUCGUAUAUAUGGAUUCUGAUUAGACCGCAUCCAGCAAUUUGGCGCUUAUCUCAUGGUAUGGCUGUUGUUUACCUUGUUGCUCACACAUUUUUUCUUUUUCAGUAAACAGGAAUUUACUCUCCAAGAUAAAGAAUCCACAAAAUGAUACCAUUGAAGUUGGACCUAGAGAUUUAAAGCUGACCUUUUUGUCUACCUCAGGACAACUAAAACAGAUGUACAAUUCUAAAACUGAGACUGAUGAUUGGAAGGUUAUGGUUUGUUGAGAAAAGAACAAUGACAAGAAGCAGAGAGAUUGAGUCAUGUUAUGAUUGAAUCAAAAGAUUGUACCGAGUAUUUUGUGUCUUGGAAAGGAGCUAUAUAUAGAUACUGCAAGUCAUGUUUUUGUUGUCUUUGCUUCAACUGCUAAUCAGGGAAUACGUUUAUUUCCAAGAAAGUUGACAACAAGAAGAAAAAGAAACUUAAGAAGGUGGAAGAUAAGAUGCUUGGAUGGGGUGGUCGUGAUGAUGCAAAGUUGUCUAUUCCAGCUACUGUUGUUCUUCGUUAUAUGUUCAUGCCUACUGAAAUGAGGCAAAAUGCAUUGCUUGGAGUGGCUACAAAUGAUGAUGGAAAGCAAGUGGAGGAAGAUGCUAGAUAUCCACCAUGGGUGCAAUGUUGCCUGAAAUCUCAUUAUCUGGAUAAAUAUGAUAUUUGGGGAAGUCGACAGUAUCAAAUAUUUAGCACUAGAUUGGUGGUUAUUAGGAUAGAUACUCAUUGUUUUGUAUGUUGGUUGGAAAUUGUAUAGCAUGUUAGUUUUACCAUGUGAUUUAAGAUUUAUUGGUUUAAGUUUUCGGGUCUUUGUCUCCUAGGAGCUAUAAUAUAAUUUGAUGACAAUGUUGAAUGUUUUGAACUAAUUUGUGGAUUGUUAAUACAAUGUUGAAUGCUUUUUACUUUUUGUUAUUUGAAAAUCAAGUUCAUUU